GGCUCAGGAUGAACGCUAGCGGCAGGCCUAAUACAUGCAAGUCGAACGAUACCAGAGAGCUUGCUUUCUGGGAAAGUGGCGCACGGGUGCGUAACGCGUAUGCAACCUACCUUAAUCAGGGGGAUAGCCUCUCGAAAGAGAGAUUAACACCGCAUAAAAUCACACUUCGGCAUCGAAGAAUGAUCAAAUAUUUAUAGGAUUAAGAUGGGCAUGCGUGACAUUAGCUAGUUGGUAAGGUAACGGCUUACCAAGGCUACGAUGUCUAGGGGAUCUGAGAGGAUGACCCCCCACACUGGUACUGAGACACGGACCAGACUCCUACGGGAGGCAGCAGUAAGGAAUAUUGGUCAAUGGGGGCAACCCUGAACCAGCCAUGCCGCGUGCAGGAAGACGGCCCUACGGGUUGUAAACUGCUUUUAUACGGGAAUAAAUCUCGCUACGUGUAGUGAGUUGAAUGUACUGUAAGAAUAAGGAUCGGCUAACUCCGUG
rnacentral:rRNA from 1 species